rnacentral:tRNA from 1 species
UCCCUGGUGGCUCAGAUGGUAAAGAAUCUGCCUGCAAUGCAGGAGACCUAGGUUCAAUCCCUGGGUUGGGAA